GCAGAUGGAACUGGUUUCAAAAGUAAGAAAUCCAUUCAUUGUGGAGUACAAGGAUUCAUGGGUAGAAAAGGGAUGCUAUGUGUGCAUUAUCAUAGGGUACUGUGAAGGUGGAGACAUGGCAGAAGCUAUAAAAAAGGCUAAUGGUGUUCAUUUUCCUGAGGAGAAACUUUGCAAGUGGCUUGUUCAACUACUAAUGGCACUAGAUUACUUGCAUGCCAACCAUAUACUUCAUCGUGAUGUCAAAUGUUCAAAUAUAUUUUUGACAAGAGAUCAAGACAUACGCUUG